rnacentral:rRNA from 1 species
AUUGAACGCUGGCGGCAGGCCUAACACAUGCAAGUCGAACGAGCGGCGGACGGGUGAGUAAUGUCUGGGAAACUGCCUGAUGGAGGGGGAUAACUACUGGAAACGGUAGCUAAUACCGCAUACCAUCGGAUGUGCCCAGAUGGGAUUAGCUAGUGGGUGGGGUAACGGCUCACCAAGGCGACGAUCCCUAGCUGGUCUGAGAGGAUGACCAGCGACACUGGAACGGAGACACGGUCCAGACGCCUACGGGAGGCAGCAGUGGGGAAUAUUGGACAAUGGGCGCAAGCCUGAUGCAGCCAUGCCGCGUGUUUGAAGAAGGCCUUCGGGUUGUAAAGAACUUUCAGCGAGGAGGCGUUACUCGCAGAAGAAGCACCGGCUAACUCCGUGCCAGCAGCCGCGGUAAUUC